AGAGUUUGAUCAUGGCUCAGGAUGAACGCUAGCGGCAGUAACACAUGCAAGUCGAGGGGUAACAGGUGUAGCAAUACAUGCUGACGACCGGCGCACGGGUGAGUAUCGCGUAUGCAACCUACCUUUUACUGGAGGAUAGCCCAAGGAAACUCGGAUUAAUACUCCAUAAUUUCCUGAAUUCGCAUGUUUUCAGGAUUAAAGCUCCGGCGGUAAGAGAUGGGCAUGCGUGCCAUUAGCUGGUUGGUGAGGUAACGGCUCACCAAGGCUGCGAUGGCUAGGGGGCCUGAGAGGGUAAUCCCCCACACUGGUACUGAGACACGGACCAGACUCCUACGGGAGGCAGCAGUGAGGAAUAUUGGGCAAUGGACGAAAGUCUGACCCAGCCAUGCCGCGUGCAGGAUGAAUGCCCUAUGGGUUGUAAACUGCUUUUCUACGGGAUGAAAUUUUCCGACGUGUCGGGAUUCGACGGUACCGUAGGAAUAAGCAUCGGCUAACUCCGUGCCAGCAGCCGCGGUAAUACGGAGGAUGCAAGCGUUAUCCGGAUUUAUUGGGUUUAAAGGGUGCGUAGGCGGAAUAAUAAGUCAGUGGUGAAAUCUUGCGGCUCAACCGUAAAAUUGCCUCUGAUACUGUUAUUCUUGAGUGCAGUUGAGGUAGGCGGAAUGUGUAAUGUAGCGGUGAAAUGCAUAGAUAUUACACAGAGCACCAAUUGCGAAGGCAGCUUACUAAACUGUUACUGACGCUGAGGCACGAAAGCGUGGGGAGCAAACAGGAUUAGAUACCCUAGUAGUCC
rnacentral:rRNA from 1 species